GUAGGUGGCAAGCGUUGUCCGGGAAUUAUUGGGGCGUAAAGCGCGCGCAGGCGGUCCUUUAAGGUCUGAUGUGAAAGCCCACGGGCUCAACCGUGGAGGGUCAUUGGAAACUGGGGGACUUGAGUACAGAAGAGGAGAGCGGAAUUCCAAGUGUAGCGGUGAAAUGCGUAGAGAUUUGGAGGAACACCAGUGGCGAAGGCGGCUUUCUGGUCUGUAACUGACGCUGAGGCGCGAAAGCGUGGGGAGCAAACAGGAUUAGAUACCCUGGUAGUCCACGCCGUAAACGAUGAGUGCUAAGUGUUAGGGGGUUUCCGCCCCUUAGUGCUGCAGCUAACGCAUUAAGCACUCCGCCUGGGGAGUACGGCCGCAAAGGCUGA
rnacentral:rRNA from 1 species